UCAAGAAACAAUCGACAGAGGCAACAUCACAGAAGCCAAGAAGAUGUGGAAGGAGCCAAAGACACAGACACACAGGGCAAGCCAAACUAAACCACAACCCAGGGGCUACGUAGAAGCUUCAGGCUUCUCUCUUGUCCCCAACAUCAUAAUCAUCAUCACACACUAUUUGUGAGCCACCCCAUAACAAAUAGUCCUCUGGGCGGCUCACAACACACCACUGAGAAAUGUCCAAUAAGAGCACAUACAAAACGACAAACACAUCACAACACAAAACUGCAGCAAAUAUCCAACUGGCAGCGACACAGAAGCCACAAAGGAAUUGAAAGAGCCGAUGACGAUGCACAAGAUAGCCAAAGCAAGGGCUGUGUUCCCCACCGCCCUGAAUGCUCUGUCAAUCCAGGGUCCAUCAGUAGAAACUUCAGGCUGCUUUGUUCUCUCACCACCUGUGGAAGGCAGCAUGAUCUCUCAUUCUGUGGCUGCCUGGAAUGAAACACGCUUCAUGUAUGUUACAAGCUUCAGGCGUCUUUAUUCUCCCAACAGCCUUGUCAAGCUGGAUAUCCUCUAAGAUGGCGACUGCCUUUAACAGGACACACUUCAUGUGUGCUGCAUGCUCAGCAGCCCUUUGUGCCAUGUUUGGAAAGAAGAAACAGAGUUGGCACACAUUUGCAAUGACCUCCAUGCCGGAGUGGGGAUUUUGGAAUGUUUUUUCCUCCCAAGAGGCCUGUGUGGGAGGCAGGAUCAAAGACGGGCUGGACCAAGUGGGAUUCAAGAAAGAGCACAAGGAAUGAGGAGGACACAGAGGACAAGACAAGCUGACCUGAUCAAUCUUGUGACGAGGAGGCGCAUUGUCCGAGAAUUGAACAGAUUUCAUGAAAGAGCUGAAGGAGCGAGGACAAGACAAGCUGUCUCAAUCUCUUUCGUGAUGAGGCUUCAUCAGAGAACUGAAGAACAUAUACAAAAUAUAAAGAUGUAUACAAAUACUGAGCAUACUUAUUUAUUACAUACCGAUUGUCACAGGAGAAUAGAAAAAUGAAACUCUGAAAAUGUAUUACUCAGGAAAUCUAAGGUGUCAUCCUUCAUAAAUGCCUCAUACUCUAACAUCAUGUGGAUUUGCUCACACUUCAAAUAAAUUAUGUAACUUGUUCUUUCCCAAAGGAUUUCAAAAACAGACCAGUGGAGGCGACAAGAGACAAGCCACGCCAAGCAAAACUGCAUUACCCUUUUAGGGUUUUUUUUCAGAUUGGUCUCAAAACGAGUGGCUGGCUGCUGCAAAUAGAGGCUUCAAGCGAGAGUUGAUUUUGUCCUUGACCCUGUGAGGUAAGUUAGCCUGGAAUAAUAUGUGCUGGCUUCAAGGGUUCAUGCCUAAAAAAUAAGAAUACAUUUGUUUAAAUUGUUUGUAUCCUGUCUAUUCAAGAGCCUUAAACAACCAUCUCUUCAGCCUGGCUUUUAAUGAUAUCUUGUUUUAAUCUUAAUUUUAAUUAGAUUUAAUCUGUUUUAAAUGUUUCUUGAUUUUAAUUGUUUUAUUUUGUGUUUUUUUAUUUUAAUGUAAACCAGCCUGAGCCAAUGAAUGAAUGAAUGAAUGAAUGAAUGAAAUAAUAAAUAUUCAACAAAAUGCUAUUCAUGGCUGCUUGCCCUCUCUUAAAUGAAAACAACAACCACCCCCUACUAAAUGCAAAACAACAACAAAACCCACUAUUAAAUGCAAGCUCCCACACUACUAAAUUAAAAAAAAACACUACUAAAUGCAACAACCCCCCGCAAAGCCCACUACUAAAUGGGAAAAAACCCCACCACUAAAUGCACACACUCCACUAAUAAAUGCAAAAAAAAAAAAUUCACUACUAAAUGCAAUAAAACAGAAGAUAAAAUAGACAAGAAAAAAGAGCAUUCACAACUAAAAACUGAGUAUUCUAAACAGGAGUUAAAAAAACAACCACCAUUGGCUCUGUUCACCAGCCAUUCUCAUUGAACUCUGUUGGUACAUUACUCGUCAGGUUUUUUCACCCGUCAGGCAUCCUUUUUCACUUGACACAGAUGGGUAGACUAGUGGAUUUUCUGAGCCCUGAUUCUAAACUUGGAUUGGAGAAAAAUGGAAUUUUUUCUUGGUGCAGAUCUCCUGACCUAGCUGCUUUGCGUGAGUAUUUGUUCAGUGAAUCUGAAAAAACUAUUAUUGUGAUGUUUGAAACUAACAUUUAACACAUUUGUUAAAGAUUUGUGGUAAUGUUUUAUUUUGAAACAUGAAUUAUUUGAAAUGAUGAAAGAAUGUUAAUAUGCCUAUAUAUUCUCUUUUUACCCAGCAGGUUGACUUGUAUACAGUGCCACGUGGAUGGUGCAUAAAUCCCUGCCAAGGAGGAUAUUGCAAGAAAUCGGAAAUGUAUAAAAGUGGCUACUGUCAGAGGGGUAUAUAUUAACCUAUGUCUAGAUAUGCUUUUGAUUUUCUUUUCCCCUAGCAAUCAAUCAAUGUAUCUAUAGACCAGAAAAAUUUCCCCUAGCAGACUGAUUUACAUAGACGGCCAUGUGGAUUGUGGGUAAAUCCCUACUUAGGAGGUUAUUUGAAGAAAUCCAAAGUGUAUAAAAGUGGCUGAUAUCAAAGAGGUAUGUAUCAACUCCUAUUUAGAUGUUUUUACUCCCUUAUUAGGAUGCUAGAUAUACAGUUAAGGUGACUCUAUUUAAAAGUCUUCUGUCUGGAUGAUUUUCCUCUCAAAAGAGACUUGUGCUGACAGGCUGAAAGUUGCUCUUACAAUAAGUGAUGUAGGGACAUAGGAGCUGAAGUCCUAUGGUCAGGGUGAAGUGCUGGUAACCUCUCCCCUGUAGCCUCCAAAGAAAGAGGAGAACUUUCUGCAACUGGAAGAAAAAAGAUGAAGUCUGAAGAAAAGAUUCACUGUGGAAGGAGCGGUCGGCUUGCCAUGGACUGUGAUGCUUUCUUGCUCCACGUUAUUGAUAGCCAGUUUAAUUUAUUGUUACCUUUAAAUUGUUGUUCUGUAUGUGAGCGUUCUGUGCAUUCAGUAUUUCUGUAAAGCCUUUGUGUAGAACCCGGGUUCUUCCUUUUGUAAUGUAUUUUAAAUGUAUGGAGAAUUUUUGUUGUAGCUGCUACACUUCUGAUCAAACCUAUGAUGUUGAAGAGCAAUUCUGACAAGAUGCAAAACAAGGGAGCCUUCUUCCUUAAAUCCAUGUGGUAAAUCCACGGGGGCUGCUCCAAGGACAGCAAUAUCUGACAUUUUGUUUGACAGAGAAUCCCACAAGUGGAUGAUGCGUUGUGUGAAAAAGUGUUUGUUUGUUGGUUCUAGAGGUGGUUCCUAUCCAAUUGCCUGGGAUGACCUCUGGUUCUAGUGUGAUGUGAGAGGGAGAAGAAUUUCUCUCCAUCCUCUUUCUCCACCCUAUGCCUGAUUUUAUAGACCUCUAUCAUGUC